AUGGAAAAGCCCUCGGGCAAAAAGAAGGCACAGACCCCAAAGGAAGAAGGAGAUGGGCUGAAGAACACUCCCAAAGCAGAGAAAGCAUCUGGGGAGAAAAAGGCAAACAAGAAGUCCACUUUGGCGAAAAAGCACAGCAAGGAAGCCAGCCUGAGUCCCGAGGAAGAAGGACACGUAUUUGAUGCCUUUGACGCUUCGUUUAAAGAUGACUUUGAGGGGGUUCCCGUCUUCAUUCCUUUUCAGAGAAAGAAGCCCUAUGAGUGCAGCGAGUGUGGACGCAUCUUCAAGCACAAGACAGACCACCUUCGCCACCAGAGGGUUCACACGGGAGAGAAACCCUUCAGGUGUGAGGAGUGUGGGAAGAUGUUCAGACACAGCUCCGAUGUCACCAAACACCAGAGAAUCCACACUGGAGAGAAGCCCUUUAAAUGCAGCGAGUGCGGGAAGGCCUUUAACUGCGGCUCCAAUCUCCUAAAACAUCAGAAGACGCACACUGGAGAGAAGCCGUAUGAGUGCAAGGAAUGUGGGAAAACCUUUGCCUACAGCUCAUGUCUCAUUCGCCAUCGGAAGCGUCACCCACGGAAGAAGCACUGACCGCACCGCUGUGAGGCCUGCGGCAAGAGCUUCAGGUACAAGUCGCUGCUGCUCAAGCACCAGCGCAUCCACACGGGCGAGAAGCCGUACGCGUGCCACGAGUGCGGGAAGCGCUUCCGCGGCUGGUCGGGCUUCAUCCAGCACCACCGCAUCCACACGGGCGAGAAGCCGUACGAGUGCGGCCAGUGCGGCCGCGCCUUCAGCCACAGCUCGCACUUCACGCAGCACCUGCGCGUCCACAACGGCGAGAAGCCGUACGAGUGCGGCGAGUGCGGCCAGGCCUUCAGCCAGAGCUCCAACCUGGUGCGGCACCAGCGGCUGCACACGGGCGAGAAGCCGUACGCCUGCAGCCAGUGCGGCAAGGCCUUCAUCUGGAGCUCCGUGCUCAUCGAGCACCAGCGCAUCCACACCGGCGAGAAGCCCUACGAGUGCGGGCAGUGCGGGAAGGCCUUCCGCGGCCGCUCCCACUUCUUCCGCCACCUGCGGACCCACACGGGCGAGAAGCCCUUUGCCUGCGGCGCGUGCGGCAAGGCCUUCGGCCAGAGCUCCCAGCUCAUCCAGCACCAGAGGAGCAUUCACUCUGGGGAGAAGCCAUACGCGUGCAGUGACUGCGGGAAGGCCUUCAUCCACAGCUCGCACGUGGUCCGGCACCAGCGCACCCACCACGGGGAGAAGCCCUACAUGUGCAAGGAGUGCGGGAGAGCCUUCAGCCAGAGCUUCAACCUUGUCAGGCACCAGCGAAUUCACACGGGAGAGAAGCCGUACGGAUGUGCUGAGUGUGGCAAGUCCUUCGGUCAGCGGUCAGAUGCCACCAAGCACCAGAGGACACACACGGGCGAGAGGCCAUAUGCGUGCAGCGAGUGCGGGAAGGCCUUCCUCCACAGCUCCAAUGUGGCCCGGCACCAGCGCACCCACCACGGGGAGAGCCCCUACGAAUGUCAAGAGUGCGGCCAGGCCUUCAGCCAGAGCUCCAACCUCCUCCAGCACCGGCGAGUGCACACGGGCGAGAAGCCCUACGCCUGCCCCGAGUGUGGCCGCGCCUUCAGCCGCAGCUCCUUCCUCAGCGAACACCGGCGCAUCCACACCGGGGAGAAGCCCUACGCAUGCGGGGAGUGUGGCCGUGCCUUCAGGGCCCUGUCGGGCUUCUUCCGACACCGGCGGGUCCACACCGGGGAGAAGCCUUUCCGCUGCACCGAGUGCGGCCGCACCUUCCGCCUGAGCUCGCACCUGAUCCAGCACCAGCGCAUCCAUGGCACAGACUGA